AUUGAACGCUGGCGGCAGGCCUAACACAUGCAAGUCGAACGGUAACAGGAAGAAGCUUGCUUCUUUGCUGACGAGUGGCGGACGGGUGAGUAAUGUCUGGGAAACUGCCUGAUGGAGGGGGAUAACUACUGGAAACGGUAGCUAAUACCGCAUAACGUCGCAAGACCAAAAGGGGGGACUUCGGGCCUCCUGCCAAUGGAUGUGGCCAGAUGGGAUUAGCUAGUAGGUGGGGUAACGGCUCACCUAGGCGACGAUCCCUAGCUGGUCUGAGAGGAUGACCAGCCACACUGGAACUGAGACACGGUCCAGACUCCUACGGGAGGCAGCAGUGGGGAAUAUUGCACAAUGGGCGCAAGCCUGAUGCAGCCAUGCCGCGUGUAUGAAGAAGGCCUUCGGGUUGUAAAGUACUUUCAGCGGGGAGGAAGGGAGUAAAGUUAAUACCUUUGCUCAUUGACGUUACCCGCAGAAGAAGCACCGGCUAACUCCGUG
rnacentral:rRNA from 1 species